rnacentral:rRNA from 1 species
AUGUCAUGUGCGCACCUGAAGGUGUCUGAGUCCAUUGAGUCGCUGGUUCAUGUGGUCGAUGAUGUUGUGUUGGUGGUUCCUAUGGUUGGAGAUGUCAUGUCGGUGGUUCCUCUGGUUGUGGAUGUCGAUGCGGCCAAUAUGUUGAUGUCGGCUCCUAGGAGCCUCUUGGUUGACGACAUCAACACAAAGAAAUUCAAUGAGUUUUAUGAUUUCCCUGAGAAAUGGGUAGCUGAUCAGCCUGGAUCUGGCAAGACAAGUAAGUGUUGUCCGAAAGAGAAGCCAAGCAAGAAGAAAUCAAAGAGGAACAAAAGUGAGAAGAGUGGCAACAUUCGAAAGGUGUCCAUGAUUUCAUGA